rnacentral:rRNA from 1 species
CUACGGGCCGCAGCAGUGAGGAAUAUUGCACAAUGGGGGGAACCCUGAUGCAGCAACGCCGCGUGGAGGAUGACGCAUUUCGGUGUGUAAACUCCUUUUAUAUGUCAAGAAAAUGACGGUAGCAUAUGAAUAAGCACCGGCUAACUCCGUGCCAGCAGCCGCGGUAAUAGGGAGGGUGCAAGCGUUACUCGGAAUCACUGGGCGUAAAGGACGCGUAGGCGGGUUGGAAAGUCAGGUGUGAAAUCCUACAGCUUAACUGUAGAACUGCGCUUGAAACUUCUAAUCUAGAGUAUGGGAGGGGAGAUGGAAUUAGUGGUGUAGGGGUAAAAUCCGUAGAUAUCACUAGGAAUACCUAAAGCGAAGGCGAUCUCCUGGAACAUUACUGACGCUAAGGCGUGAAAGCGUGGGGAGCAAACAGGAUUAGAUACCCGCGUAGUC